CAAGGCAGCUGACUGGUUAAGCCUCAGCUGCCUUUAUCUUCCUCUCACUCUGAUGCGAGCUAAUCCCAGGAGAGCCUACAAAUGCAACGGAAAACAUCUGGCUGGAUAUUGUGAGUGUAGGAGCAAGAACAAACUGUUUUCUAGCAGCUGCAGUUCUCUGUAGGUAUGGGGUUGAGGAUCCAGGGAGGCUGCCUGACCCACAUUGGAAGGAAUGUCUCGAUCCUGGGUUCACUUACAUUAUAAGCAGCGCAAGAAUUCGGCGAAGAAACGAAUGUAGCAGAUAAACAGGCCAGGUGCUGGGGAUGCAAAUGAAAUCGAUGACAGAUGGAGAAAUUCUGCGACUGAGUUCCAAAAUCUCUCCUUCCUAAUGCAUCUGUAAACAGCUGCAGCUCCCUGUUCAAUAUUGGCUGCAGCUGCCAUAAUGCCCCAGAAGGACAACCAAAUGGAGAGAGCUCCCCUUAAUUGCCUUGCCACCCCUGACUGAAUUUAUGUUUUGUUUUUAAGUAACAUUUUGUUGCAUUUGCAUUACUGAAAUUACCAGGUUACAGUAAACUAUAUUCCCAAAUCAAUGUCCCCCCAAAGAAAGCAGACGUGAACUUUAUCACCAACAACAAAUUCAAUUUUCACAUUACCUACUGACAAAGAGGCUUGUGCCAACAACACUUGCGGAUUCCUGAAAAGUCCGCCAAACCAGAGGAAAUCCACAAAUCUCCGAUUUUAAUGUCUCAUAGUUUUGCUAUUUAACCAUUGCUUUUCACCUCUCGGUAAAAAUUAAUCUUUACACUGUUUUGUUUCUGUUUCAAAAUCAGAUAGGGU
rnacentral:lncRNA from 1 species